GACGUCAAAUCAUCAUGCCCCUUAUGACCUGGGCUACACACGUGCUACAAUGGGAAGUACAACGAGUUGCGAAGUCGCGAGGCUAAGCUAAUCUCUUAAAGCUUCUCUCAGUUCGGAUUGCAGGCUGCAACUCGCCUGCAUGAAGCCGGAAUCGCUAGUAAUCGCGGAUCAGCACGCCGCGGUGAAUACGUUCCCGGGCCUUGUACACACCGCCCGUCACACCACGAGAGUUUUAACACCCGAAGUCGGUGAGGUACCAUUGGAGCCAGCCGCCUAAGGGGAUAGAUAAUGGGGUGAAUUCAUACAUGUUCU
rnacentral:rRNA from 1 species